CCACUUUAUUGAAAAAUAAUUACAUAUAAUAACUAAAUCACCUAAACUUCUUUUAUAAAAAAAAAUAUUACAUUUUGUCAAAAAAUAAAUAAAUUACAUAAUGAGCAAUACACCUAUCUAACUAUGCAUGUAAGCACUCUACUCAACUCAACUCUACCCUCUCUUCUUUUUCUUUAACUCGGUUCAAAUUUAGUAGAGUUGAACCUCAACUCUUGUUUAAACUGUUGACUAUCGAACAUGCUAGCUAUAUGCACAUGAGGAUUUUGCGAAUGAUUUUUUGAAAUAAACAAAUGUCUUCUCUCACUUUGUCAAUGUUUGAAUGUUUAAAAUUUCUAAGGCAUCUCUUGUUCAAUUGGUCCUUGUGUAAGGUCCUUUAGGUACAUAAGUCAUCCUCCAUCCACAAAAGAACAGUAUAUUGGCUUCCUCUCAUCAAAACAAUUGUGGUGCAAAACUUGUUUCAUUAAUGAUUGAGAGAUUUACUACAUGUUUAGUAUAGAACUCCGAUAAUUUUUUUUUUUUUAAAAAGAGGGAUAUGAUUGAAAUUUUUUAAAAAAAAUAGAGAAGUUGGUUAAUGGUUGUGAUUAAAAAUUGAGAAAAAUUGAAAGAAAACAAAAAUAGAGAGAUCUAUUCUCAUAGAAUUCGAACUCCACGGUUGAAACUUUUGUCCCAUCGUAUAUUUCAAAAACUAUUUAAAGAAAAUUUUUAAAUAAUUAAAAACAAAAUAUGAUAUAUUAAUAAAAACUAAAAAAUUUAUUUAACCCAAAGUUUUUUUUUACCAGCUGACAAAUAAAACAAUACCAGAGAGUAUAGUUUAAAUCCUCACUCUGAAACAAAUAUUGUAGACCCAUACUACAAUGCCUCUUAUUAAUUUGUGGCUGCCUUGUGCUACCAACCAAGGCCUUUUAGAGUGACCAUCGUUCUAUUGUUUUCUUCAAGUGGCAGCAGAAACAAGAUGUCAGCAUUUUAUAUAUAAACAACUAAAUUAAAAUAUGAAUGUAUAAUAUGUAGCAAAAAAAGAAUAUGAAUGUAUAAAAAAACAAAGACAACAAAUAAGAAUUAGGAGCAAAUGGAGAGCUUAAUGCAAAUAAAAAUACAAAAAAAUAUGAACAAAAAAUCAUUGUCACAUGAGACCUUAAUGCAAAUAAAAGAUUGUUUGAUAUUUCUUUGUUCAAUUUUGAUUGUAAAGGGUAACGAAAUAAUGACCAAGCCAUACCACAAAAAUUGUAUAAACACUUAAUACAAGAGGAGUAUUUUAAAUAAAAAAUCAAUUGUGUUUACAUAUCUCAGUUUUCAUGAUACUCCUCUUGCCAACAUAGGUUCGUGUGCAAAAAGAAGAAAAAAAACUACUCCUUCCGGCUUUUAUUAUAAGAAAAAGUUUGAUGUAUCUAGUCCAUAUUAUUGUCUAGAUAUAGAUUCAACAUUCCAUGAAUCUAAAAAAUAAAUUUCUUCUUAUAAUAAGGACCAGAGGGAAUAAUAACUAAAAAUAAGAGAAAGUCUUGUGUUGACACAAAAUUUAAACAUAAAACCUAAAUCUAGCUAAAAAGAAAUCUUCAUGAUAAACUAACUAUACAAGUUAUAAAUCGAAUAAGAAUAUAAGAACAAGAACAAGUUAAAUCGAACAAAGAACAAAUUAUAAAAGGAAAAAAUAUAUAAUAC
rnacentral:lncRNA from 1 species